rnacentral:rRNA from 1 species
CAGUAGCCGCGGGAAUACGUAGGGUCCGAGCGUUGUCCGGAAUUAUUGGGCGUAAAGGGCUCGUAGGCGGUUUGUUGCGUCGGGAGUGAAAACCUACAGCUUAACUGUGGGCUUGCUUUCGAUACGGGCAGACUUGAGGCAUUCAGGGGAGAACGGAAUUCCUGGUGUAGCGGUGAAAUGCGCAGAUAUCAGGAGGAACACCGGUGGCGAAGGCGGUUCUCUGGGAAUGUUCUGACGCUGAGGAGCGAAAGUGUGGGGAGCGAACAGGAUUAGAUACCCCGGUAGUCACUGUCUCUUAUAA